rnacentral:rRNA from 1 species
GACGAACGCUGGCGGCGUGCUAAACACAUGCAAGUCGAACGGAGAAUUUAUUUCGGUAAAUUCUUAGUGGCGAACGGGUGAGUAACGCGUGGGCAACCUGCCCUUCAGAUGGGGACAACAUCCCGAAAGGGGUGCUAAUACCGAAUACGAUCACGCUGCCGCAUGGCGGUGUGAUGAAAGAUGGCCUCUAUUUAUAAGCUAUCGCUGAAGGAUGGGCCUGCGUCUGAUUAGCUAGUUGGUGGGGUAACGGCCUACCAAGGCGAUGAUCAGUAGCCAGGCUGAGAGGAUGAACGACCACAGUGGGACGGAAACACGGACCAAACUCCUACGGGAGGGAGCAGUGGGGGAUAUUCCGCAAGGGACGAAAGUCUGACGGAGCAACGCCGCGUGAGUGAUGAAGGUUUUCGGACUGUAAAACUCUGUUGUUUAGGACGAAAGUGCCUGUUGCAAACAGUUGCAGGUAUUGACGGUACUGAACGAGGAAGCCACGGCUAACUACGUGCCAGCCGCCGCUGUAAAAC